rnacentral:rRNA from 1 species
UACGUAGGGCGCAAGCGUUAUCCGGAAUUAUUGGGCGUAAAGAGCUCGUAGGCGGUUUGUCGCGUCUGCCGUGAAAGUCCGGGGCUCAACCCCGGGAGGCGGGCGGAUACUGUCGGGCUAGAGUCCGGAAGAGGCGAGUGGAAUUCCUGGUGUAGCGGUGAAAUGCGCAGAUAUCAGGAGGAACACCAAUGGCGAAGGCAGCUCGCUGGGACGGUACUGACGCUGAGGCGCGAAAGCGUGGGGAGCAAACAGG